AGGACGAACGCUGGCGGCGUGCUUAAAACAUGCAAGUCGAACGGGGGCUUCGGCCCCAGUGGCAAACGGCUGAGUAACGCGUGGGUGACCUGCCUGGAAGUGGGGAAUAACUGCCCGAAAGGGUGGCUAAUACCGCAUGUGGUCGGCGAUUCGAUUCGCCGUCUAAAGGAGCAAUUCGCUUCCGGAGGGGCCUGCGUCCGAUUAGCUAGUUGGUGGGGUAACGGCUCACCAAGGCGACGAUCGGUAGCUGGUCUGAGAGGAUGAUCAGCCAGACUGGGACUGAGAACGGCCCAGACUCCUACGGGAGGCAGCAGUCGGGAAUUUUGCCCAAUGGACGAAAGUCUGAGGCAGCAACUCCGCGUGAGGGAUGAAGGCUCUAGGGUCGUAAACCUCUUUUCUCAGGGAAGAUCCAAGACGGUACCUGAGGAAUAAGCGACGGCUAACUACGUGCCAGCAGCCGC
rnacentral:rRNA from 1 species